GUGCUCACUUUGGCAGCACAUAUACUAAAAUUGGAAUAAUACAGAAAAGACUAGCAUGACCCUUAUGCAAGGUUGACUUGGAAAAAAAAAGACUCAAAAGGAAUAA